rnacentral:rRNA from 1 species
UACAGAGGGUGCGAGCGUUACUCGGAAUCAUUGGGCGUAAAGCGCGUGUAGGCGGCCAGGUAGGUCCGUUGUGAAAACCCGAGGCUUAACCUCGGGACGCCGACGGAAACCAUCUGGCUAGGGUCCGGAAGAGGAGAGUGGAAUUCCCGGUGUAGCGGUGAAAUGCGCAGAUAUCGGGAAGAACACCCGUGGCGAAGGCGGCUCUCUGGGACGGUACCGACGCUGAGACGCGAAAGCGUGGGGAGCGAACAGG